GUCGAUUCUCAGCCUUUUGUCUAAGUUCAUGUGUACAUGUGUAGUAUUUUUUCUCGUCAUCUCAGUAUCUGGCAUGCUGAGUAUUGCCUGCCAUCAAUUUCAAACAUAUUUUGGCCGACCGAAUUAAAAACGAAGCUUGUUUCAGUUGAUUCACGGAUUUCCACAGUUUGAACUACCACCAGGCCUUGUCAAAAGUUU